rnacentral:ncRNA from 1 species
CAAUCGGGGUGCUGCCAGGCAUAGGGCCUGGGUGCUGAGAAAAUACCCGUCAACCUGAUCAGGAUAAUACCUGCGGAGGAAAGAUAUG